rnacentral:rRNA from 1 species
CCUACGGGUGGCUGCAGUGGGGAAUAUUGGACAAUGGGGGGAACCCUGAUCCAGCCAUGCCGCGUGUGUGAAGAAGGCCCUCGGGUUGUAAAGCACUUUCAGUGAGGAAGAACGCCUGGUGGUUAAUACCCAUCAGGAAAGACAUCACUCACAGAAGAAGCACCGGCUAACUCCGUGCCAGCAGCCGCGGUAAUACGGAGGGUGCGAGCGUUAAUCGGAAUUACUGGGCGUAAAGCGCGCGUAGGUGGCUUGAUAAGCCGGUUGUGAAAGCCCCGGGCUCAACCUGGGAACGGCAUCCGGAACUGUCAAGCUAGAGUGCAGGAGAGGAAGGUAGAAUUCCCGGUGUAGCGGUGAAAUGCGUGGAGAUCGGGAGGAAUACCAGUGGCGAAGGCGGCCUUCUGGACUGACACUGACACUGAGGUGCGAAAGCGUGGGUAGCAAACAGGAUUAGAUACCCCAGUAGUC